GACAGAGGGUGCAAACGUUGCUCGGAAUCACUGGGCGUAAAGGGCGCGUAGGCGGACAAGUAAGUCGGGCGUGAAAUCCCUAGGCUCAACCUAGGAACUGCACUCGAAACUGCAUGUCUUGAGUACCGGAGAGGAAAGCGGAAUACCUGGUGUAGAGGUGAAAUUCGUAGAUAUUCGGAAGAACACCAGUGGCGAAGGCGGCUCACUGGACGACUGUUGACGCUGAGGUGCGAAAGCGUGGGGAGCAAACAGG
rnacentral:rRNA from 1 species